rnacentral:tRNA from 3 species
GCGGGUAUGGUUUAGUGGUAGAAUGCGACCUUCCCAAGGUUGAGACGAGAGUUCGAUUCUCUCUACCCGCACAA